ensembl:snRNA U7 U7 small nuclear RNA
AACAAUUUUCUCUUUUAGUAUUUGUUCAGUAGGUUUCCUCAAGGAGAAAGCCCAA